UUCACACAACGCUGUACAUAGUUGCACAAUCACGUCAGCCCCUGCCCUCAAGGAGCUUACAAUCUAAGGUUUCCAUCUGACACACACACA